ensembl:lncRNA
CCAGCAGCGGUGAUGUCACCCUCCUCUACUCCCCUCUGGCAGCGGCAUCCAGAAAGCUGCCCUUUUGCUGAAAAAUGCCAAGCGCACCGCAUUCCAACGGCACACAAAGGCCCUCCCUCGUCUCAGCUGCAAAGGCACAACCACACAGGGGAUAAUUAUAUAAUUAGGCCGGCCCGGUGCAGACAGGGGAGCCUUCAGAUGGUGUGUUGGCGUGUCAUAUUUAGGUUCUCGGACAAUGAAGAGAGUCUGGUCGAAUCGGAGGAGGCAGGGUGUGUGUGUGUGUGUGUGUGUGUGUGUGUGUGUGUGUGUGUGUGUGUGUGUGUGUGUGUGUGUGUGUGUGUGUGGGGGGGCAGCUGUGGCACUUAGGAACCGAUUGUCAUGAUAGAGAAUAACGGGGUCGAUAGAACGACCUUCAGCAUGUGUGCCCGGGAUCAGGGGUCUGUAUUGUGGUUGGGCCUCGGUGUGUGCGUUUGGGUGUGUGUUUUGGAUCCAUGUGUGGAGGGGUGGGGACAUUUGGGGCAACUAGACAGAAACAUAUGAGAACAAUUGAAAGGGAUGGCAUGGUGCUGUACGCUAUUUACCACCACUAAAUAGAUAAAAGUGCACUGUUAACAAAUUGCAUUUCUAACGGUAUCUUACAGUAUGUCAUAACAACUUUAACAUACAGUUAAAUUUCCAUCUCUUGCUUGUAAAUUAACGGCCAAUGUCAUGAAUAAACAGUUAAAGCUGUCAAUUUACAAUAAUAGCAGACUACCGUCAUUCAACUGCAUGUUACAUGUAUUUUAUGAAGUGGUGGAAAUACACAUACAAGUGCUGUGAUUUACAACCCAUCUACAUCUGUUGUUGGUUAAUGUAUGGAAGCCCAUGUCAGCCACUGAAAAACAGGUCCUGUAAGUCAUCAUAAUGAGAUUAACUGUUAAUCAAUUGCUCCAUCUAUUUUGAGAGUGUAUCCGUAGUUAGCUGUCUUAUACCACUUUUUCCGUUUUGGCAUUCUAGACAAUUUUGCAGUUUAUUGACAACAAGUUUGCAUGCGCUCUGAACACGUGGUGGGGCUCAGGUGUUACAGGUGAAUCAAUAAAUGGAUAUCUAAAAAAAAUAAAUGAAUAGAGGUAAGAAUAAAUCAAUGUUCUACCGGAUGCAUUUAGUUAGCAACUAAUCUUUCCAUGUGCCCUUGGCAACAUGCUGCAGGGCGUCUACUUGUCGCCGAUCACAAGAAUUGCCAAACGGACCAGCUCUUCCCUCUUCCCGCAGCAGGAUCCACGCUGCCAGACGAGAAUUGAGCCUGUGUCCAGCUCAGCUGGCCCCCGCCCAACAAUCUCCCCUCGCACCGUGGCCUUGGCUCUGGGUGUGUCUCCGCUCGCACGGGACAACACAGAAUAGACUAUUGUUGAUCGCUACAAGACAGCGAGCCAGGGGAAGAGGAGGGGGGAGGGGGGGUGUGACGUUGGGGCAGGGAGGAUGGUGGGGGGAGAAAUUAGCUUUUAACGAGCGAGAGCGAACAGCACAUGGACAAAGAAGCAUAUGGCUCCCCUCCUACUUGCAUGCGUGUGCACUGAUGCAGAGCCACUGGACAGCUAUUCUCUCUCUCACACACACACACACAGUGGACAGUCUUUCUUACGUGAACGUUUCCACACACAUGUAGUACUUUGUUUUGCAAUCAACAUUGUGCACAAGGCGCUUAGGACCAACACCAGGCAUGGGAUGAGUCAUCGGGGCCAGAAGCUAUGAUGGCCGUGCAUGUUCACAGUUAUUUGUAACGAGAGACACAAGAGUUAAUAAGCUUCUUCAUUUUUUGUUAUGUGCACCUGCAUCUUUUGACCAGGAUCAAUUAAUUGAACAUGAGUGUGUGGUUGCCCUGACAACCUCACCGUGACCACACGUCUGCCGUGAUAAGUAGUCCUGGUGUAUUUUGUGAGGAGAUGGUGUUCCUUUUGGACGGAGCCAGGGUAGCAGUUUGCUGUGUUUUUCUAGUGCAUUUAAAAAUGAUUUCUGAAAGCCCUGUUUUUGAAGGUUGGCCCAUAUCCGUGUUGAAAGUACACGUGUCCUUAGCAAACACCUGCAGAACCCUGUCUGUUGCAUUCAAGUGCCACUCAGCUUAGUCAACUGUAUUUAUUAUUAUUUUUUAAUUAAUUUCUUUGUUGAACACAAACCCCUCAUUUGAGCAUUUUCCAAAGCAUCCCAUAUAGAUUCAUAGAUAGAUUUUUAGCUCCUGGGCAACCUUCUACAGGGUGGAAAAUCAAUGUGAAACGCACGGUUUCCUUUGUAAAAGUAAUGGAUACCAUUGUGGUUAAUGAGUGGAAAAAUGCAGAACGAGUAUACGGCAAAUCCCAUUUACUUGUACAUGCGGCACCUCCUGCCUUGAUGCCUUCUAUCCGACACGCACAAGAAACGCUAAAGAAUUCCGCACACAACUGCAGGCGACUGCUCGACUCAGACAAACAGUCAUUAGCGCUCACGAGGCUCCAAUCGUCUGUGUCUUUGGUGAGAUUACUGCUUUUGAACAUUUGGAAAAAGAUCUUCAUAGAGUAGAAAGUAUUACUCUCACGGCAACAAAAACAGCCUCCUUCAACCACGGAGUCUCAUUCAGCUUUGAGACGAUAUUCACAUGAGGGCCUCUGCUGCAGAUCGGUAUUUGGGCUCCAUGCGUUUUUGAGAUGGUGAGAAACUACUGUCCGAGUAGAAAUGGGUGCCAUCACCAAGGCUUUCUGUUUUCAUUCACGCUGCUUUUAGAUGUUGGCAGCAAUAUCUGAAGCUUUGUUUGUCCCAGGAGGUUUGCUGGUUUGCUAAAUAUUUUCCAGAGGAAAACAAGUUAUUUGUCAGAGGUCAGGUUUGUUGGCACUCAACAUGAAUUGGAAGCAAAAUAAAACUUUUUUUGCCAUGUUUAUUUGACUUGUGAGACAAAAAGGCAAAACCGUGGCAUCCAUGAGUUUACCGCGCCAGCUCAGCAAAGCCCAACCCGAAUGCACAGCUGCGUACGUCACCGAACCACAAUGACUGUGACAUAAUCAAUAGGCCAAAGUCAGAGAAGAGGGUCAUGGCCAUUCUCGAAUUGUCCAAAUUCCCACGUCGCCAUGCUCUAUAUUCCGCACAUGCGCUGCACGCCGUUUGAAACGAUGCGAGGCCAGCGUGCCUCACUCGUUCUCUCGCUCUCUAGCGGCACGACCUUUUUGUCUUGUUGCAGAACUUCCCGAGCGGAGCAGAGGGGUAUCGCUGUUGUGUCCCAGCAGAAAGAAAAAAAAAAACAAAAAACCACGCGCAGGCAGGGGAUUGUGUAAUGGCCGUGACAUUUGGGAGUGGGCUGUGACCCGCUCUGCUCCUUCAUUGCUUUGAGGAUCAGUCAGACGUUCCCUCAGACAGACCCGAGAGGUCGGCGCCACUCGUGGGCUGAAUUGAUGUCUUGAUGCAGCAUCAGCGGCUCGGGCAGAAAGGGCCCCGUCACAGGCCCAUUCUAUACCAUGCGAGGCAACAAAGAGUCACUAUCGACGCUGCGCGCUACCUCGUGGGUCAAAUCUUCAAAGCAGCGGUCUUCCUCCCGGAUGGAGCUUAGGGCCGUCCUCCACUCAAGGAUGUGCUUUGUUACUUUGCUGGAGUGUUUUACCGCCACCCGAUCAGUCUCAACACUAGAGGCUGUGUACUCGUCUACAAAGGUUGGACGAUUCUCUGGGCCCACCUUUAAUUUUAGUUUAAGACUCUGUGACAUCACAACAAGGCUGGGACUACAUGUGGCAAUCAACAUACAGGAAAUACAUGAUAUUAAACACUGAUAUCGUUCUCCGAUGGAGCAGAAAGGAGCAGAUUUCACUGCACAUUUUUUUAAAUCCCUGUUGUCACAUAUAAUGAAAACAAUCCUGCAAACAUGGAGGCAUUACUGGACUUUAAUUAGUUUGCAUGAACAUAAGAAAGGUGACGAUAAAAUUAUGGACAUACGUGUGGAGUGUAACAGAAACAAAUAAAAUAAACUAAUAGACUGACAUCUUUAGUCAGUUAGUUUUGUAGCACCAGUUUUAUUGGUUGAUGAGCAUCAACGCCUGAGCGUCACUAUCAUGACAAGGUGGUCUGUUUAGAGCAGAUGUUCAUUCGAUUGUCCUCUCAGCAGAGAUCUAAGAUGAACCUGAAGACCAAUCCGAGGCGUAAGUAACCUUCUUUCCCUUCUUCUCCUCGGUGGUCCAGGCUGCAUUUUCAUAUUUCAUCGGUAUUUCCGGAUGGCUCCCACACUCAAAAAAUAAAGGCCAUCAGAGUAAUCAUUAUAAUGUUGGAACAAUAAUAACUGGGGGAACUGAAUGAAAGCUUGGAGAGGCUUGUUGACCUUUCAGAGCUAAACUGGUCCUGGCUUCUGUCUGUGCACUGCUGAGCCCAUUGUGUUCCCAGACCUUAUCAUUGUGCUGCAGUUUCCUUUCCCUGCUGAGUGUGCGCACACAUGCAUGUGAGCGUAUGAGCUGAUGCGCGUGUGAGGAGCCUCUCCUUGUGUAUGAAUGUGUGGGCCGGCGUUUUAGUGGACUGGACCUGCGUACAACAAAGUACAGAGGCCUUAGGAGUGAUGCACGCUGUCUCACACCUACUGGACCAACACCUCUGACACACACACACACACACACGUAAAAACAAAUGCUGUGUGACAUGUUACAGCAUGGCAUGUGCCUUUUUAAAUACAUCUCUUAAUACAACUAAAGCACAUUCAGUAAAUAGUUUUAUCACGCACAAUAUUUAUACCAUGAUUGAAUGAAUUUAUAUGAUCUCACAUACAUGUUAACUCUAACAUAAGUGAAGAAGCCCAUAUCCAACUCUAAUAUACUAAUGAUAAUUUCAUUCCAUUGACAUCCCUUCUCAAUCAAUGCUUACACUAAAUACCACUGAAAACCACCUAACAGUGAGGCUCCUUGUGUUAAUCGUCGAUGAAAGCUGGAGUUAUCACAGCAUUAGUGCAACUCACGAAUGACUGACAGAUUCUGCUCUCACCAUUCUGUCCCUAACAUUAAGAAAGGGAAAAAGAGCCGCGGCUUCCACCUGUUUCCCCCCCGUCCCCCCCGUCCCCCCGGUGUGGGAGCGAGACGUCCUAUGAUGUCACGGUGAGCUCUGUUCUCGCUGACAAUACACCCACACCUCCGGGGUUUCCCCUGCCCCGACAACAGGGGGAGCUGUUGUGUCCUGUUGGUAUGUGUGUUAUGAUUCAUUGCCUCCUUUCUCCCACGCAAUCGUUCCCACACACACACACACACACACACACACACACACACACACACACACACAAACAGCUGUACACAGCUGCUGUCAGCCGGAGCUCCAUAGUAACACUCAUACACAAACACACGGUGCAUCGUUGGGUAUACAGUGCAGCUAAUGUACCAAAACGACGAGGGCUUCAUGGGGGAUGCGGGGGCGGACUGAUUGGUAAGGUUGCCCGGGGCAACCGAUAUCCCAACACAGCUUUGAUUCUAGUAACGCCUGUGACUUAUUGAAUCAAUGGUAGUAUUGAUACUAUGGGAAGAGUGAGACAACAGAGGAGAGAAAUGAGAGGUGUGAGUGUGUGUGUGCGUGAUUGUGUGUGUGUGUGUGUGUGUGUGAGUGUGUGUGUGCGUGAUCGUGUGUGAUUUAUGCAUUGCUAAAGUUACUUGACUUUAUGUGCAUUCAUCGUUUGUACCAAUACUGAAAUCUAUACUAUGGUAGGAGUGUCAGCUAAAUGACAUGUAAUGUAAUGUAAUGUAAUGAGUGUGCAUAUGCAGUGUGUGUGUCCGUAUCCCACACACCCCUGUAUGUAUAACCACAUUAAUGUAUUAACAUUAAUACAUGCAUUAUUAACUUAAAUGCAUCUAAAAGAGGAUUAUAAGAGGAGGAAAAAACAAUGUUUGAUUGACAGAAACAGUGAGGCUGCAAACACUUGCCUAUUGUCACUGUGUUACGUUGUUGAUAGUAUCAAGCAGUUGCACAUCUAGCCAAAUGGAUUUGGAGAUGUGUGCCAUCUGAUAAAUUGAAAUCCAAUAUUAAUUUUCCUUUUAGCUCUGUUUAUAAAACAGCUGCCUGCUGCUGGAAAGAU